GGGACAGUCGCAUUCUCCGAGGUCAAUUUCGAAACUAAUGCGAAUUCUAAUUCCUUGCCGAGCACUGAAAUGGGCCCGAAAAUACCAUUUCGAUCCGCGGCGUACUUUUCGCGCAAUCCGAUGAAAAGGAAACCGGAAUCCUUGCGCCCUCGCUCUCUAAAAGUGGGAGCAAACGUCACCCGGAUAAAGCCAAUCAGCGCACGCCCUGGGUAAAUGCGAGCCGCGCGCCUGUUUGGCGAUCGCGAAGCGAAGGUAGCAAACAUGGAGUCUGAAAACGAGAGUGAUUUUCUCUGUCUGGGGGAGAUUCUGAUGAACAUGUAAGCGGUAGCGGCGACGAGUUAAUGCUGGAUGAUGACCCAUACUCUACGGACCCAAUGCCUCUGGAACCCGCCGACCAGGCACGAGAUGUGGCUGCGGCUAACCCGCGGGAUGACAUUUUCAGGUGUCUGUGUGGAGUCUGCGACCCACAGGAGCCCGACGAGCGCCUGUGUUGCCAUUCUGUUGCCAGGGUGGUAGAAAUGUGCAACAGUGCCGCCGUGCAGUGCAUAACACAACCGAAAUUGCAAAAUUCCCAUAUCGGACCCCCCUCCUGGGAACAAGGCUAACCGGAAGUCGCGCGUCGCUAGUAAUAAAUUGCGCUGUAAUGUGCAUAUUCUGUAGUGAGGUUAGGUUAGGUUAGGUCAGUACAUUUUACACGCGCGGGGGGGGGUCCGGGGGGGGGUUCCCCCCCCCGCAGUUGUUCGAGACUGUGCUCACUUCCGUCUAAGCCUCGUUCCCAGGGUUAGAUCGGAGGGGGUCCAAUGUGGGAUUUCUGGCUCACUCAUAACACAACACCCAUUACUCAGGGACAUCUGCCUCCGUAGGGAGCUUCUAGUGGUGUACGCGCCUCAAUUCUGCCGCUAUGAUCAACAUUUUAGGCGACUCAAUCCCCAGGACCACAGGUGCCUGAGGUUCACGGCAUACUCGUCAUUCACGAGAUGGGUCUGGGGAUACCUUGGUCCAAGGAACAGACGACAGGUUCCUGGAUGCGUUGUCCGAGCCAUCAGGAGGGAGUUCCCAUCUACGUCCUAUCAAGGCUAUCAGCGUUACGACCAUCGAAGCAAGGGUGUCUUGACCAGAGAGACAAGCUGGUGCAUACUGAUGGCUGGAACUGGAGACAUGUAGUCGCAAGACAAAAAUUUUGCUGACAUAGGCACACUUUGUGUAAAUGAGCCCUUGGUCAUCCCCCUUGCCUCCCAUCAGAGGUUUUGGAGGAUACUA